CCCAAGAGAUCGGGAUAACACCUGGAAACAGAUGCUAAUACCGGAUAACAACAGAUGAUGCCUAUCAACUGUUUAAAAGAUGGUUCUGCUAUCACUCUUGGAUGGACCNUGCGGUGCAUUAGCUAGUUGGUAGGGUAACGGCCUACCAAGGCGAUGAUGCAUAGCCGGGUUGAGAGACUGAUCGGCCACAUUGGGACUGAGACACGGCCCAAACUCCUACGGGAGGCAGCAGGC
rnacentral:rRNA from 1 species